CACACUCGUCGCAUUCUUCUGAUAACUUUUUCUGUUUCUUUCUACAAGAAAUCAAUCUCUCAAAUUUCACAAGCCUUUCACCUGCCCCAAUUUCAGCCCUCAUGAGCUGAUCUCCAAUCCUCAUCCAUAGACGAUUUGAUAAAAAGGAGAGUUUGUUUUCCAAAUUACUUGGUCUUGGAGGGAGGAGAUAGUCUGUCCAUUAUGCUCGUGAAGGGUUGGUUAAGCUUAGUGGUUGUGAUAUUAGGAGGCGUGCCAUCUUUUGGACUUGGGAAAUAAGUUCUGAAGGAUUUGACACAUUAUGAAACCUAUCAUCCUAGACGGGACCUAACAUGCCAUGGUGACAAGAAAGGAAUGGAUGUCAUUAAAGAUACCUUCAUACAAGGUGCUAUUUCCAGAGAUUUUAGGGAUUUGGGUGUACAUGCACUCCAUGAUUGCAUGUAAAAUGUCUAUGUUAUUAUCCACUAAUGUAAGUUAGUUAAUAUAACUUACAGUUAUACACCUUGAUUGGUACUCUAUAAGAAAGAAUGUAAAGGUAUAUGUAGAAGUAUAAAGGUUGAAUUAUUGCUAAGAAUUUGCUUCUACCUUUAUUUCCAAAGUGGGAGCAGUUGCAA